rnacentral:rRNA from 1 species
AGUGAACGCUGGCGGUAGGCCUAACACAUGCAAGUCGAACGGCAGCACAGGAGAGCUUGCUCUCUGGGUGGCGAGUGGCGGACGGGUGAGGAAUACAUCGGAAUCUACUCUGUCGUGGGGGAUAACGUAGGGAAACUUACGCUAAUACCGCAUACGACCUACGGGUGAAAGCAGGGGAUCUUCGGACCUUGCGCGAUUGAAUGAGCCGAUGUCGGACUAGCUAGUUGGCGGGGUAAAGGCCCACCAAGGCGACGAUCCGUAGCUGGUCUGAGAGGAUGAUCAGCCACACUGGAACUGAGACACGGUCCAGACUCCUACGGGAGGCAGCAGUGGGGAAUAUUGGACAAUGGGCGCAAGCCUGAUCCGGCCAUACCGCGUGGGUGAAGAAGGCCUUCGGGUUGUAAAGCCCUUUUGUUGGGAAAGAAAUCCAGCUGGCUAAUACCCGGUUGGGAUGACGGUACCCAAAGAAUAAGCACCGGCUAACUUCGUGCCAGCCGCCGCGGUAA